AGAAGUCGGAGAAGAGGUGGGGGGGAAUACGUGGUGUGGAAGGGUUAGGUGUGAUUACUAGGCGUAAAGUGGAGGUAGGUUGGUCAGGAGAUUGGGUGUGAAAUGCCCGGGCUUAACCUGGGAGCUGCUUUCAUAACUGCGGAGCUAGAGUACGGUAGAGGGUAGUGGAAUUUCCUGUGUAGCGGGGAAAUGCGUAGAUAGAGGAAGGAACACCAGUGGCGAAGGCGACUACCUGGACUGAUACUGACACUGAGGUGCGAAAGCGUGGGGAGCAAACAGGAUUAGAUACCCGAGUAGUC
rnacentral:rRNA from 1 species